UCGUUGUUUAAGCACUUAAGUUGUUCUUUUAUAUUGAAGCCUCCUCCUUCAACCAAGUUUCAAGCUUCAAGGAAUCAAGAUCUAGAGAGAAGAGAACAAAAAAGAAAAGAAAAUAAUGGAGGGGUUUUUCUGUAAUGGACAAUUCUCUGCAACUAGAGGAAGCAUCCAAAGGGAUCGCAUUGAUCCCAACUUAUAUAUUUACUUUCAUCAUUUUCUUCUACAUAAUUUUGGAUCAUGCUAUCCCUUCGGAUUCCUCCUUUAGGUAGUUUUCUUUCAAUUUAAACCCCAUCUACCCUUCACUUCUCCGGCCACCGUACUCCGUUGCCGUCCGCCGCUCCCCCAUCUCUAACUUUCAGGCUAACCCCAAUAAAGCUUUUGCAUCUCAAGUACGUUUUUCUCCUUCCCUUUAAAACUAUUUAGCCUCUUUAGAUCCAUUACAAUAACUUUGCCUUUCUUUUGUUGGGUUUUUAAUUGGAUGAAGAGAGAAGUUUAUUCCAGCUCUAGAUCUGAUUUCUCGACGAAACGUUAAGAAAAAUGCUCCGUUAGGUGGAACUGUGAGAGAUAGGAGAGAUUGGAAGGCACAUCCAAACGUUUCAACUAGGUUGACAUAUUGGCCGUCAUCAUAUUUCCAAGAAAUCAUAGAGUUGUUACUCAAACGAAAAGAAAGUAAAAAAGGGGUUAGUUUUCUCAAGUUUGUUAACAUAUAUGUAUAUCUUCCCCUUUUAAAUUUCCUUUUAUUUUUCCUUACUGAACCCAGCAUGAUGUUUAAAGAUAUAAUAAUAAUAAAAGAAAAAGAUACCAUACAUCAGAAAGUUUGGAUUAAUUUUUGGAGAAUGAGAGUAAAAAGGAACAUAAAUGCUAUCUUUUUAUAAGGAAAAAAGAAAUGGUCUGUGGUAUUGAUGAAGCAUCAUUAGCAGACAACAUAGUGGAAGGCUGGUGAUUCAGUACAAUUUUGGGGAUGAAACAGUGGUUCAAAACAUGAGAAGAAAUUACUAAUAAUUUCAAGUUCCUUUUUUUUUUUUUUUUUUUUUUUUUAUCCCCUUUAAUAUCUAUAAGGUAAUUUAAUUUUGAGUCUUUUGACCUAUUUUGAUUUAUAGAAGAUUUUGAUGAUUAAAAGCUUCCAAAACAGCUUAAUUUCACCUUUUGAACAUUUUAAAAGUAAAAUAAACCCUUUUCUUUUACCCUUUGGAUGGGAGUUGAUGGUUUUAUAAUAAUUAUGGUGCCUUUGUUCUCUUGUCUUGAAUUUUCUCUUGAAAUUUGAGUGUUCCUGAAGGCAAAAAAUAAAGGGAAUCCUAUACCAUAAAACAUGUGAUGGGGAGCCCUUGAAAACAGUCCUUUAAGCAAAAACCAUUAUGCUGUUUGUAAUCCAAGAAAAGAAAAGGGUCUUUUCUCUUGUUUUAAAGCACAUGACCCCAAUUCUCUAAAAAAAAAAAAUGGUCUCUUCUCUUCCCUAUUUAAAUCCCUUUAAUCACAUGGUCACCCCCACCUUUUACUAUGCUCUUCCUUCUCUACAUUAUCUCUUCAAUAAUUUAUUACAUGUGCCAUUAAUGGAGAAAGCAUCCAAGAUAUAAAAUUGGUAAACUGUCAUCUAAUUAAGGUCCCAUUUGAUAAUAGACCGUUCGAUCAAAUUGAUAAUGACUUUGUAAUAUACUUCUAGAAGAAGUUUUUCAAAUCGCUCCCCAACUUUAUUAUUAUUAUUUUUUAUUUUAGGUAAUGAACUAGUUUGCACUUUUGUGUAGUUUCGAUUUUUUUAUUUGGGUAUAUGUAUUUAGUGCCACGUUUACUUUCCAAUAAACGUCAAUCGUAAUAUGAAAAGUGGGUCCAUUUAAAUACAUUCCAGAAAGUUAGUUAACAAUAUUAUGUGAAUAAUGAAUAAUAAAAGAAAAUCCAUUACGAUUGGAACCAUUUUGAUUAUAGGGCAAUAAACAUGGCCUAAGUGUAAUUGCGAUAAGUAACACUUUUAAGUCUAAUAAUUAAGCGAUGAGCAAUAUUAUUAAAGAAUUGCAAAUACAGCAAAAUCUAUUGGUCAUAGACUUCUAUUAGUGAUAAGCUCUAUUGUUGAUAGACUUCUAUUAACGAUAUGGUCUAUCAUUGAUAGACUCUAAGAGUUGGAUUUAAAUUUUACUAUAUUUUUAAUUUUUUUUAUAUUGUACUAUAUCUACAAAUAUGUUGGAUCUGAUUUCUAUAUUAGCAACCGUUCUUAUAUUUAUCUAAUUUGCCAUAAACCUUUAAGCUGAUUCAUAGAAACAAUUUGAAGAUGGUUUGUUUGGCCAGGAUUGGAAGGAAAUACUUUUGUCCCUAUAUUUAAAAAAGAAUGUCUCACUAUUAAAAUACACAAAGCUUCAAGAAUACAUAAAAGCAGCCAGACCAAAACCCCUAAAUCUGAUUUUAUUUUUUUUCCAAUUUUCAUACCUUAAAAUUUUUUUUAAGUAUAUCAAUGCUUCUUAAAAAUAUUUAGGGGAGGACCCAUAUUUUUGGGAAUUUGCCCACCAGAUUCAAAACAUUAUCAUAAAAACCAUAUAUAUCCACACAAGAAAAUUAAUAAAUAAACCUCACAUUUCAUCUCUUUCCUUGAUUUGGAGAAGUUUCUUUUAUGUCAUUAAUUUAUGUCUGAUCUAAUCCAUAUAUUUGUAUAUUGAACAUUUUUAAUUAUCACAACCCCUCUCCCAGGUUGCAUAUCAGAAGGAUUUUUCUAGUAGAAUAAUGUGGGUCAUGAAGAGCGAAGCAAUAUAAUACCAAUUAUUUCUGAUUAAUGUUCAAGUUGGAACAUGUUAGAAGUAUAUUUCUUUUCAUGAUACAACAACUGUUCCGGAUCUCAAGAGAAGCAGUGCAUACCAAUUAUUAUCGUUAUGUUAAACUCACCAUGACAUGUGUAUUGAAAAGAAAGUGGGAGAUUUUUCUCAAUAUUUUGUUAAACUAAACACCCAUUCCUUUAUGUUGAUUUUCCCUCAUUCAAAAUAUUUACUUUUAUGGUUAUAAACUAUAUGCAUUAUUUCUGAAAAUACUAGUCAAA